UACGUAGGGUGCAAGCGUUGUCCGGAAUUAUUGGGCGUAAAGAGCUCGUAGGCGGUUUGUUGCGUCGGCUGUGAAAACUCGAGGCUCAACCUCGAGACGUCGGCGGAAACCAUCUGGCUAGAGUCCGGAAGAGGAGAGUGGAAUUCCUGGUGUAGCGGUGAAAUGCGCAGAUAUCAGGAAGAACACCCGUGGCGAAGGCAGCUUGCUGGGACGGUACUGACGCUGAGACGCGAAAGCGUGGGGAGCAAACAGG
rnacentral:rRNA from 1 species